rnacentral:rRNA from 1 species
AUUGAACGCUGGCGGCAGGCCUAACACAUGCAAGUCGAGCGGAUGAAGGGAGCUUGCUCCUGGAUUCAGCGGCGGACGGGUGAGUAAUGCCUAGGAAUCUGCCUGGUAGUGGGGGAUAACGUCCGGAAACGGGCGCUAAUACCGCAUACGUCCUGAGGGAGAAAGUGGGGGAUCUUCGGACCUCACGCUAUCAGAUGAGCCUAGGUCGGAUUAGCUAGUUGGUGGGGUAAAGGCCUACCAAGGCGACGAUCCGUAACUGGUCUGAGAGGAUGAUCAGUCACACGGGAAGAGAGACACGGUCCAGACUCCUACGGGAGGCAGCAGUGGGGAAUAUUGGAGAAUGGGCGAAAGCCUGAUACAGCAAUGCCGCGUGUGUGCAGAAGGUCUUCGGAUUGUAAAGCACUUUAAGUUGGGAGGAAGGGAAGUACGUUAAUACCUUGCUGUUUUGACGUUACCAACAGAAUAAGCACCGGCUAACUUCGUG